AGAUAAAAUAAAAUUCGGGCGUUUAGCAUACCAUACAUAAUCACCAGUUGGCAAGAAUCGAAAGUCAAUCGUAACAACCUUGCUGAGCCUAAAUCGGUGAACUCGUUGCAGGAUUCCAAAAUGUUGCAUACGAAAAUCACCAAUCUCUUCAAUUCCGCUGGCACAUCAAGAUCAGUUCCACCGCAACCUUGAAGUAAAUUUUUAGUGAAAACGGUAGGAGACUUGUUUAAUUCAUCCAAGCUAAUUGUGGUUAACGCGUCUAACUCUGGUAUCAUAGUACUCUUCAAAAUGCCUGCAUCUCUUAUUCGAAAUAAAUGGACACCAGUCACUCCUUCUAUUGAGCGUACAGAUUCAUACAAGUCAU